UACGGGGGGGGCAAGCGUUGUUCGGAAUUACUGGGUGUAAAGGGUUCGUAGGCGGUGCGGCAAGUUGGGAGUGAAAUCUCUGGGCUUAACCCAGAGGCUGCUUUCAAAACUGCUGUGCUUGAGUGUGAGAGAGGCUCGUGGAAUUGCAGGUGUAGCGGUGAAAUGCGUAGAUAUCUGCAGGAACACCCGUGGCGAAAGCGGCGAGCUGGAUCACUACUGACGCUGAGGAACGAAAGCUAGGGGAGCAAACAGG
rnacentral:rRNA from 1 species